rnacentral:rRNA from 1 species
CAGUAGCCGCGGGAAUACGAAGGGUGCAAGCGUUACUCGGAAUUACUGGGCGUAAAGCGUGCGUAGGUGGUGGUUUAAGUCCGUUGUGAAAGCCCUGGGCUCAACCUGGGAAUUGCAGUGGAUACUGGGUCACUAGAGUGUGGUAGAGGAUAGUGGAAUUUCCGGUAUAGCAGUGAAAUGCGUAGAGAUCGGAAGGAACAUCUGUGGCGAAGGCGACUAUCUGGGCCAACACUGACACUGAGGCACGAAAGCGUGGGGAGCAAACAGGAUUAGAGACCCCCGUAGUCCCUGUCUCUUAUAC